CCUUGUACACACCGCCCGUCACGCCAUGGAAGCUGGGGGGACCCGAAGCCGGUGUGCCAACCGCAAGGAGGCAGCCGUUUAAGGUCAACUCAGUGACUGGGGCG
rnacentral:rRNA from 1 species